rnacentral:rRNA from 1 species
CGAACGCUGGCGGCGUGCCUAAUACAUGCAAGUCCAACGCACUCUCGUUUAGAUUGAAGGAGCUUGCUCCUGAUUGAUAAACAUUUGAGUGAGUGGCGGACGGGUGAGUAACACGUGGGUAACCUGCCCUAAAGUGGGGGAUAACAUUUGGAAACAGAUGCUAAUACCGCAUAAAACCUAACACCGCAUGGUGUAGGGUUGAAAGAUGGUUUCGGCUAUCACUUUAGGAUGGACCCGCGGUGCAUUAGUUAGUUGGUGAGGUAAAGGCUCACCAAGACCGUGAUGCAUAGCCGACCUGAGAGGGUAAUCGGCCACACUGGGACUGAGACACGGCCCAGACUCCUACGGGAGGCAGCAGUAGGGAAUCUUCCACAAUGGACGAAAGUCUGAUGGAGCAACGCCGCGUGAGUGAAGAAGGUUUUCGGAUCGUAAAACUCUGUUGUUGGAGAAGAAUGUAUCUGAUAGUAACUGAUCAGGUAGUGACGGUAUCCAACCAGAAAGCCACGGCUAACUACGUGCCAGCAGCCGCGGUAAUACGUAGGUGGCAAGCGUUGUCCGGAUUUAUUGGGCGUAAAGCGAGCGCAGGCGGUUUCUUAAGUCUGAUGUGAAAGCCUUCGGCUCAACCGAAGAAGUGCAUCGGAAACUGGGAAACUUGAGUGCAGAAGAGGACAGUGGAACUCCAUGUGUAGCGGUGAAAUGCGUAGAUAUAUGGAAGAACACCAGUGGCGAAGGCGGCUGUCUGGUCUGUAACUGACGCUGAGGCUCGAAAGCAUGG